rnacentral:lncRNA from 10 species
UCACCAAUCACAUGGACAUCACAAAUCACUUGCAAAGUCAACAGACUCUUGUCUGCCCGCACAGUCUUCAGAAAAUGUGUCCAGGUGAAUUCAAAGCAAGGCAUUCUAAUUAGAACAAUGUACAGAAGGAAAGAAGGUAUGAGAGUCUGAGGGGAGUUUGAGGAACAGAAAGUAGACAGGGCAUCUCUGAAUUGGGGACUCUGAUUGGCCCAGAAGGAAUCAACUACUAUGUCUGUGUGCAUAAGAACAGAGAUAGGCAAAGUUGACUGUAAGAAAUGGAACAUCCGGGCCACGCACAGUGGCUCACACCUGUAAUCCCAGCACUGCACUCAACCACAGAUCCUACUGACAUGAAGGUUUAUGCACCUUGAGGACUGCUGAACACUGACACAGCUAGCUGGUGCAUCUAAGAGACUGGCUAGGGCAGCAGCUUUG